UGCAGCGACGCCGCGUGAGGGAUGACGGCCUUCGGGUUGUAAACCUCUUUCAGCAGGGAAGAAGCGAAAGUGACGGUACCUGCAGAAGAAGCGCCGGCUAACUACGUGCCAGCAGCCGCGGUAAUACGUAGGGCGCAAGCGUUGUCCGGAAUUAUUGGGCGUAAAGAGCUCGUAGGCGGUUUGUCGCGUCUGCUGUGAAAGCCCGGGGCUCAACCCCGGGUCUGCAGUGGGUACGGGCAGACUAGAGUGCAGUAGGGGAGACUGGAAUUCCUGGUGUAGCGGUGAAAUGCGCAGAUAUCAGGAGGAACACCGAUGGCGAAGGCAGGUCUCUGGGCUGUAACUGACGCUGAGGAGCGAAAGCAUGGGGAGCGAACAGGAUUAGAUACCCUGGUAGUCCAUGCCGUAAACGUUGGGCACUAGGUGUGGGGGACAUUCCACGUUUUCCGCGCCGUAGCUGAGGCAUUAAGUGCCCCGCCUGGGGAGUACGGCCGCAAGGCUAAAACUCAAAGGAAUUGACGGGGGCCCGCACAAGCGGCGGAGCAUGCGGAUUAAUUCGAUGCAACGCGAAGAACCUUACCAAGGCUUGACAUGGACCGGACCGCCGCAGAAAUGCGGUUUCCCUUCGGGGCUGGUUUACAGGKGGKGCAUGGUUGUCGUCAGCUCGUGUCGUGAGAUGUUGGGUUAAGUCCCGCAACGAGCGCAACCCUCGUUCUAUGUUGCCAGCGCGUGAUGGCGGGGACUCAUAGGAGACUGCCGGGGUCAACUCGGAGGAAGGUGGGGACGACGUCAAAUCAUCAUGCCCCUUAUGUCUUGGGCUUCACGCAUGCUACAAUGGCCGGUACAAAGGGUUGCGAUACUGUGAGGUGGAGCUAAUCCCAAAAAGCCGGUCUCAGUUCGGAUUGAGGUCUGCAACUCGACCUCAUGAAGUCGGAGUCGCUAGUAAUCGCAGAUCAGCAACGCUGCGGUGAAUACGUUCCCGGGCCUUGUACACACCGCCCG
rnacentral:rRNA from 1 species